AUUGAACGCUGGCGGCAGGCCUAACACAUGCAAGUCGAACGAGUGGCGGACGGGUGAGUAAUGUCUGGGAAACUGCCUGUUGGAGGGGGAUAACUACUGGAAACGGUAGCUAAUACCGCAUACCAUCGGAUGUGCCCAGAUGGGAUUGGCUAGUAGGUGGGGUAACGGCUCACCUAGGCGACGACCCCUAGCUGGUCUGAGAGGAUGACCAGCAACACUGGAACUGAGAAACGGUCCAGAUUCCUACGGGAGGCAGCAGUGGGGAAUAUUGCACAAUGGGCGCAAGCCGGAUGCAGCCAUGCCGCGUGUAUGAAGAAGGCCUUCGGGUUGUAAAGUACGUUCAGCGGGGAGGCGUUACCCGCAGAAGAAGCACCGGCUAACUCCGUGCCAGCAGCCGCGGUAAUUC
rnacentral:rRNA from 1 species